CUGAUAACUUACAGGACGCUUUGGCUUCAUUGCUUUUCAGGUGAACUGCCGAGUAGGUAG
rnacentral:misc_RNA from 1 species